CUCCAACCACAGUAUCUCCAACCUCAAUCACAGCUGCUUCAACCACAGCAGCUCCGUCCACAACAACAGAAGCUCCAACUACAACCACAUCAGGUCCGUCCACAGUAUCUCCAACUACAACAACAGCAGCUCCAACCACAGUAUCUCCAACCUCAAUCACAGCUGCUUCAACCACAGCAGCUCCGUCCACAACAACAGAAGCUCCAACUACAACCACAUCAGGUCCGUCCACAGUAUCUCCAACUACAACAACAGCAGCUCCAACCACAGUAUCUCCAACCUCAAUCACAGCUGCUUCAACCACAGCAGCUCCGUCCACAACAACAGAAGCUCCAACUACAACCACAUCAGGUCCGUCCACAGUAUCUCCAACUACAACAACAGCAGCUCCAACCACAGUAUCUCCAACCUCAAUCACAGCUGCUUCAACCACAACAGCUCCAACCACAACCACAGCUCCUCCAACCACAAACACACCUCUUCAAUCCACAACAGCUGCUCCAACUACAACAACAGCAUCUCCAUCCACAACCACUGCUGCUCCAACUACAACCAUAGCAGUUCCAACAACAACCACAGCUGCUCCAACCAUACCAACAGCAGCCCCAUCUCUAUCCACAAUUGUUCCCCCAAAUCCACCCACAAAUGCCCCCACAGAGACAACUACUUUAAAAACUACAACUGAACCUCCUGCUCCAGUGUAUGUUCUUGCAGCAACCAUUAUUGAACCAUAUGAUGUACAACUAGAAAAUAAAUCCAGCAAAUUGUUUAAAGAUCUUGAGAAAAAAGUCACAGAAACAUAUGACAUCAUCUACAGAAAGAAGUUUGGAUUCCGCUUCAUUCGUAGUUUUGUCAUUGCAUUUAGAAGUUCUCUACUACUUUUUACACGAAUGAAUAGUACUGAAGCAGAAGUGGGGUUGGAGUUUAAUAAAACUACUCCUGCUGAAAAUCUCCCAGAAAAUGAAGAUGUACAACAAACCUUAGUCGACGCAAUAAACAGCACUACGUUCAACGUUACAUUCAUUCCUAGCACCAUCAGUCUAAUAAAAACACCUUUGGCAACCUCUGCUCCCACUACAAAUACGACAGCUACCACUGCAACUAUGACAACCACCACAACAACAACUACAACUAAACCAACCACCACAACAACAACUACAACUAAACCAACCACCACAACAACAACUACAACUAAACCAACCACCACAACAACUACAACUAAACCAACCACCACUACAACUGUGGAGUCAACAGUGACAAAGCGACUGACUUUUAGGUCGGCAGGAGAGACAUUUACCACCGAGUUGCUGGACCCAAAAUCUACAGCUUUCAUAAAUCGAGCUGACCUUUUGAAGACCCAUCUUGUACCACUCUUCCAGGCAGCGUUCUCUUCUUACCGCAAUUUCAUUGUGAUUUCAUUCAGUAAUGGAUCAAUCAUCAACAACAUUGACCUUGAAUUUGAAACAGCAUCCCAACCUAAUAACGCCCAAAUCAGAGAUGUUUUGGUGAAAGCAAAUUCAACCGUCACAGCUUUCAACAUUGACAUCACUUCCAUUUUUGUGGAUGGCGCACAAACAUCAAGUGGAACAAGCCACACAAUCAGCCUCAUCACUGCAUUCAGCUUGAUCCUGUUGUCAUGGCUUCUUUCAACACAGCAAUAACGUCUCUGCUGGUUUCCAGAGGAAAAUCUGCAUGAAAAUCUCAAUUAUUGCUAGUAUGAACAAGAAUGUUGUUCUAAUUCCAGACCAAGAGUCACUUUGAACUUUAAAACAUUCAUUGAAACUUGAUAAUUUCCUCAUGUCAAUUUUGUUUUAUUUAUUUAUGCAAAACUAAUUAUUCUGUGUCACUGAAUUAAUUUAUUAUCUUUAAAAUUAAACAUGAAGGUAUUUCUUGAAGGAUUAUUUAGUUUGGUGAAUAUUUCUCUCAAUAAAUAUUGCAAGAUUUACCAAAAAUAAGCUGUCUGAGCAAGGUAUUGUAUGAUUGUCCAGUUUUUCUUUUCCUUUUAAUUGUAUUUAUAACACAAAGUAUUCUGUAAAGUGUAUACCUGUCAGUUUAAUAAAA